AGAGAACACUGGCUGAAGGACCACCUGACGGUAAGAUGGCAAAAGAUUGUCUAUGUAGCUCUGCACCAAAAACCAGGGGGAGAAGAUGUAUUAAAAGAAUAMAACAAAAACAAAAGUCUCUCUGAUCCAACAAGAAGGAAACUUGUCAAUAUUUUAGUGGCGGAUAUGAUCGAAAGUCCUGGGAGAGUCCCUGCUGUCAAUGUCCGCAUUACCUGUGCCCUGGGAAUUGUCACCCUCUUUCCCAAUUUGAAAAAUAAUUGCUCACCAACUGGCUAUGUGAGUACCUGAAGAUUCUCUUCUUGAGUCAUAAUCUAUCUGGAUUUCUUACUCUUUUUUUUUUUUUACAAUGUCAAUUACCUGUGCAAUUGUCCUUUUGAACGCAAUGUAAUCGACAUU